rnacentral:piRNA from 1 species
UGGUCCUUCGCUAGUGUAAAGAGGCAG